UUUAAUGGAAACUAUAAUGGUCCCUGUGAGUCUCUACUGGUUGCCUCUAUUGGUGGCAUGUUUUGUCUCGUGGAUACCAUUAAGGACCAAUAAUGGUGAUGGUUUUAAUGGUUAUCUGAUGGUUUGUAAUGAUAUUUGUACUGGAAAACAUUAUAAUUUCUGUUAUGAUUUCUAUUGUGAAUUUCUAUGUAAGUAAUUAACGGCGUGAAACUGUCAAAACGCCGUUGGUUUAUUUAUGUAUUUAUUUGUUUAUUUUUUUUUAACGCUGCAAUAAAAGUCAAACGCUCUUGUCUUGUACAGAAAUGUGACCCUUUCGGCUUUCCACACACGGCCGCCAUCUUGCAGAAUCGCCUCACGCAGCCACUGAGAUCGCGUGGGAUUUGCGUUGUCCAUAACAACGGCGAAAACAUCCGCGCGUCCAUGCUUCACUUCCGGCUUGGUUUCUGUUCGAACUUUGUUUUGUGUAGCUACAUACCGGCAAUUUAGUCGAUUUAAAAAUAAUAUUAAUUUGUUCCUGUAUUGUAUAUUGUAUUCCAGGAACACUUUAGUCCAGAUAUACGUGCAGAUCAAUGUGGGCGAUAAGCAGCCUGGUUCCUGCCCGAUUCCUCACCCUUAUUACCCACCUGGUCAUAGUCAUCACCAUAUUCUGGUCCAGGGAGAACAGUGUGAAAGCUUGUCUGCCCCUGACCUAUACAGUUGAAGAAUAUAAUAUAGAGGACGUACGGCUGGUGGUGGCCUUAUCCGUGACCCUGGGUCUGUUUGCUAUAGAACUCGCUGGGUUUUUCUCUGGAGCCUCCAUGUUCAACAACAACCAAGGACUUUUAUGCAUCCUUACCUGUAAUGUCAUCAUUUCAAUCCAUACAGGAUCAUUUUCAUACUUAUCAAACUAUUCAGUGAGCCCUCAUGCCCUGUGGAUGGGGACAGGGUCAUCUUGGAUGGAAAUGUUUCAUCAUAGGAUUGUGAUCAGUCAGAAGAAAUUUGUAUUGAUUUGUUCCUUCUUAGGGGACAUGUGGACCCAAACCAUGUCAGCAAAAUCUUCCCCAAUGCGUAACAGACAUGCCGAGCCCCCUAACUGUAGGGAUCAGAUCAGUGCUUAUGAAGUGUGCAUUCAUCAUUGUAAUGAGGGAUUCAUGCACUGCAAAUGUCUCUCUCUCUAUGUACUGUUUUUUGCUGAAAGUCUGUUCAUAUCCGGGAUGAUAGUUGCUCUUCUGUUUUUCCUCACAUAUUGCACUAAUGCAUGAGCAGCAUGGUCAUGUAAUGUGCUCUUUCUGUCACAAUAUCCAUCCCUAUUCAUUGACAUCUUUCUCAUAUGUCUAAAUACAGACGUCACUUUAAUCACUGUUGAAACACAUCCAGUUGAGCAGGCUUUGUGGCUGAAGCUCCUGUAUUGGAACGCCAUCUUGAUCCGAAAUCAAGGUCCAUGGGUUUCCUCAGCAUUGUAUACAGUACAUGUCACAGAGCAUGGCAGGAUGGUGUCUGUCAUGCAUUACACCUGUCUGAAACUCUUCUGAAUUCAUUUCAUGAGUUACAUCAUCAAGAAAGAUUUGUGAGCCCGUUCCAGAAGCAGCCAUGCAAACCCAAGCCAUGACACUACCUCCAACAUGUUUCACAGACGAGUUUGUAUGUUUAGGAUCAUGAGCAGAUCCAUUCUUUCUCCACACUUUGGCCUUUCCAUCACUUUGGUAGAGGUUAAUCUUGGUUCCAGAACUUUUGAGGCGCAUCUCUAUAUUUCUUCGCAAAUUCCAAUCUGGCUUUCCGAUUCCUACUGCUGAUGAGUGGUUUGCAUCUUGUGGUAUGGCCGCUAUAUUUCUGCUCUCGCAAGUCUUCUUCGAAUGGUGGAUUGUGAUACCUUUAGCCCUGCCCUGUGGAGGUAGGUGGUGAUGUCACUGACUUUUGUUUUUGAGUUUUUCUUCACAGCUCUCACAAUGUUUCUGUCAUCAGCCGUUGUUGUUUUCCUUGGCCGACCCAUUCACUGUCUGUUUCUCAGUAAACCACUGGUUUCUUUCUUUUUCAGGACAUUCCAAAUUGUUGCAUUGGUUAUGCCCAGUGUUUGUGCAGUGCCUCUGAUUGAUUUUGUCUCAUUUCUCAGCUUUCAAAAGGGCUUGCUUUCCUCCCACAGACAGCUCUUUAGUCUUCAUUUUGAUUUAUCCUUUUUAACAACAAAUGCAGUCUUCGCAGACUUCUAUCAAUCCAACAGGACACACCUGGUGGACUUGCAGCAUCUACUGGUG